UGUUUAUUUGAGUGAACAUUCAGCUAAUUGUUACAGAAUCGUUGCCCCCAUUAAUCUUAGGCUGUAGAAUGUAGACAAGUAAAUAGGCAUCAUCAGUAUGAUGAGAGUGAAGCUACUUAAUACUGUGGAAUCAAAUAAAGGAGGAACCCCUUACUAAACCAAGAGGGAGGAAUAAAAUGGAAUGGGACUAGAGAAGCAAUUAGCUUUAAUAAGGGUAUUAUGGAAGACUUUCUAGAUGAGAAGCAGUAAGUACAGAUGUUUGGAGGCAAACACUAGAGAGAUUGUUGGGUAAAGAAGACAAUGCUGGAGGUCUACUUGUGAAGGCCUUGAAUGCUAUGUGCAGAAGUCAGCUUCUGAGAACCAGGAAGAAGAUAUUGAAAGAUUUUAAGUAGAAGAAUCAUAGGAUUGAAUUCAUUUUAGACAGAUCACUGUUACACAAAAAUUUGAGGCAGGAGAAUUGCUUGAACCCGGGAGGCGGAGUUUGCAGUGAGCCAAGAUAGUGCCAUC
rnacentral:lncRNA from 10 species